GAUCAUGGCUCAGGACGAACGCUGGCGGCGUGCUUAACACAUGCAAGUCGAACGAGAAUCUACUGAAAGAGUUUUCGGACAAUAGAAGUAGAGGAAAGUGGCGGACGGGUGAGUAACGCGUGAGGAACCUGCCUUGAAGAGGGGGACAACAGUUGGAAACGACUUCUAAUACCGCAUGACGCAUAGAGGUCGCAUGAUCUUUAUGCCAAAGAUUUAUCGCUUCAAGAUGGCCUCGCGU
rnacentral:rRNA from 1 species